rnacentral:rRNA from 1 species
GAUGAACGCUGGCGGCGUGCCUAAUACAUGCAAGUAGAACGCUGAAGCUUGGUGCUUGCACCGAGCGGAUGAGUUGCGAACGGGUGAGUAACGCGUAGGUAACCUGCCUCUUAGCGGGGGAUAACUAUUGGAAACGAUAGCUAAUACCGCAUAAAAGUCGAUAUCGCAUGAUAUUGAUUUGAAAGGUGCAAUUGCAUCACUAAGAGAUGGACCUGCGUUGUAUUAGCUAGUUGGUGAGGUAACGGCUCACCAAGGCGACGAUACAUAGCCGACCUGAGAGGGUGAUCGGCCACACUGGGACUGAGACACGGCCCAGACUCCUACGGGAGGCAGCAGUAGGGAAUCUUCGGCAAUGGGGGCAACCCUGACCGAGCAACGCCGCGUGAGUGAAGAAGGUUUUCGGAUCGUAAAGCUCUGUUGUAAGAGAAGAACGAGUGUGAGAGUGGAAAGUUCACACUGUGACGGUAACUUACCAGAAAGGGACGGCUAACUACGUGCCAGCAGCCGCGGUAAUACGUAGGUCCCGAGCGUUAUCCGGAUUUAUUGGGCGUAAAGCGAGCGCAGGCGGUUAGAUAAGUCUGAAGUUAAAGGCUGUGGCUUAACCAUAGUACGCUUUGGAAACUGUUUAACUUGAGUGCAGAAGGGGAGAGUGGAAUUCCAUGUGUAGCGGUGAAAUGCGUAGAUAUAUGGAGGAACACCGGUGGCGAAAGCGGCUCUCUGGUCUGUAACUGACGCUGAGGCUCGAAGGCGUGGGGAGCAAACAGG